CCUACGGGAGGCAGCAGUGGGGAAUAUUGGACAAUGGGCGCAAGCCUGAUCCAGCCAUGCCGCGUGCAGGAAGAAGCAUCUAUGGUGUGUAAACUGCUUUUGUACGGGAAGAAACAUCACUACGUGUAGUGACUUGACGGUACCGUAAGAAUAAGGAUCGGCUAACUCCGUGCCAGCAGCCGCGGUAAU
rnacentral:rRNA from 1 species